UCGGGUGCGGUGCACGGUGCACGGCAGCCUCCUGUCAAGAAGGCGAACUACAAGACUGUGGCUGUUGAGUCGGGGUUCGAUUCCCCGCGCCCGAA